CGGUGACUCCGUCAGGUGGCUUAACAUGUCCUUGGAUAACAGGAUAAACCUUUUUCCAUGACUCACAAUGGAGGAAUUAGUAGUGGAUUGUGGAUAAAGACUCAAGACACAUGUCUCAACUUGGGGAGGUAGAUUUAAAGGUACUGUGCCUAGGUGGGGCCUAGCUCCCCCACACACAUAACAGUUAGUCUUAUUAUGUGAAUUAGCAUUGUACCUCAUCCAUUCCAGCCAUAAAUUAGUGUCUGAAAACCCUGUCUCGACUGCCAUGGUGUCCUCAAAGGUAGGAUUAGCGAUAGCAACCAUGUCAUGCAAAGUUUUAAUGUGAGGUUUAAGUGGAUUGAUAG